AUUGAACGCUGGCGGCAGGCCUAACACAUGCAAGUCGAGCGGGGUUUUCGGACCUAGCGGCGGACGGGUGAGUAAUGCGUAGGAAGCUACCCGAUAGAGGGGGAUACCAGUUGGAAACGACUGUUAAUACCGCAUAAUGUCUACGGACCAAAGUGUGGGACCUUCGGGCCACAUGCUAUCGGAUGCGCCUACGUGGGAUUAGCUAGUUGGUGGGGUAAUGGCUCACCAAGGCGACGAUCCGUAACUGGUCUGAGAGGAUGAUCAGUCACACUGGAACUGAGACACGGUCCAGACUCCUACGGGAGGCAGCAGUGGGGAAUAUUGGACAAUGGGCGAAGCCUGAUCCAGCCAUGCCGCGUGUGUGAAGAAGGUCUUCGGAUUGUAAAGCACUUUAAGUUGGGAGGAAGGGUUGUAGAUUAAUACUCUGCAAUUUUGACGUUACCGACAGAAUAAGCACCGGCUAACUCUGUGCCAGCAGCCGCGGUAAAGUCGUACG
rnacentral:rRNA from 1 species